rnacentral:rRNA from 1 species
ACUCCUGCGGGAGGCAGCAGUGGGGAAUUUUGGACAAUGGGCGAAAGCCUGAUCCAGCAAUGCCGCGUGAGUGAAGAAGGCCUUCGGGUUGUAAAGCUCUUUUGUCAGGGAAGAAACGGUGAAAGCUAAUAUCUUUUGCUAAUGACGGUACCUGAAGAAUAAGCACCGGCUAACUACGUGCCAGCAGCCGCGGUAAUACGUAGGGUGCAAGCGUUAAUCGGAAUUACUGGGCGUAAAGCGUGCGCAGGCGGUUUUGUAAGUCUGAUGUGAAAUCCCCGGGCUCAACCUGGGAAUUGCAUUGGAGACUGCAAGGCUAGAAUCUGGCAGAGGGGGGUAGAAUUCCACGUGUAGCAGUGAAAUGCGUAGAUAUGUGGAGGAACACCGAUGGCGAAGGCAGCCCCCUGGGUCAAGAUUGACGCUCAUGCACGAAAGCGUGGGGACCAAACAGGAUUAGAAACCCCGGUAGUCCCA